CGCAAGCCUGACGGAGCAACGCCGCGUGUGGGAAGAAGGCUCUUGGGCUGUCAACCACUUUUCUCAGGGAAGAAGCCCUGACGGUACCAGAGGAAUCAGCCUCGGCUAACUCCGUGCCAGCAGCCGCGGUAAUACGGAGGAGGCAAGCGUUAUCCGGAAUUAUUGGGCGUAAAGCGUCCGUAGGUGGCUUUUCAAGUCGGCGGUCAAAGACCGGGGCUUAACUCCGGAAAGGCCGUGGAAACUGAAAGGCUAGAGAAAGGUAGGGGUAGGGGGAAUUCCCGGUGUAGCGGCGAAAUGCGUAGAGAUCGGGAAGAACACCGGUCGCGAAAGCGCUCUACUGGGUCGCACCUGACCCUCAGGGACGAAAGCUAAGGUAGCG
rnacentral:rRNA from 1 species